GCGCGGGUGGCGGAAUGGUAGACGCGCACGUUUGAGGGGCGUGUGGGGCAACCCGUGGAGGUUCAAGUCCUCUCCCGCGCACCA
rnacentral:tRNA from 2 species